AUGUCGGUACUCGUCUGCUGCCUCCUCCUUUGGAGUUGGAAGGUUCUGAGAAUAACAAUGAAUCAAUCUUUUGUUUUAGUCUUAAAAUGCUUGUUCUGUAACACUUCGAUUGAUGGCAUUGGGACAUGUUGGCCCAGGAGCAGUGCUGGAGAAGUGGUGUCCCGUCCCUGUCCAGAGACCUUCCUCGGAGUCCGUUACAACACAACCAAUAACGUGUACAGAGAAUGCCUUGCCAAUGGCACCUGGGCGAAGAAGGGAAACUACUCCCAAUGUCAGGAAAUCCUCAACGAGGAGAAGAGCAAGCUGCAUUACCACAUUGCAGUCAUCAUAAACUACCUGGGACAUUGUAUCUCUCUGGGAGCCCUGCUGGUCGCCUUCAUCCUCUUCAUGAGACUCAGGAGUAUCCGGUGUCUGAGAAAUAUCAUCCACUGGAACCUGAUUACAGCAUUUAUCCUGCGAAAUGCCACCUGGUUCGUGGUGCAGCUCACUAUGAACCCAGAGGUGCAUGAGAGCAAUGUGAUCUGGUGCAGGCUGGUCACAGCAGCAUAUAAUUAUUUCCAUGUGACCAACUUCUUCUGGAUGUUUGGAGAGGGCUGCUAUCUGCACACAGCCAUAGUACUGACAUACUCCACCGACAAACUGAGGAAAUGGAUGUUCAUUUGUAUAGGCUGGUGUAUUCCAUUCCCCAUUAUCGUCGCUUGGGCCAUUGGCAAGCUGUACUAUGACAAUGAAAAGUGCUGGUUUGGGAAGCGGGCCGGCAUUUACACUGAUUAUAUUUAUCAGGGGCCCAUGAUCCUGGUCCUGCUGAUUAACUUCAUUUUUCUCUUCAACAUUGUGAGGAUCCUGAUGACUAAACUGAGGGCCUCCACUUUUUUUUAUUUUUAUUUUUAUCCUACUGAGAAAGCAGUAAAGGCCACACUGGUUCUUCUGCCGCUGCUGGGCAUCACUUACAUGCUGUUCUUCGUCAACCCAGGCGAGGAUGAGAUCUCACAGAUUGUCUUCAUCUACUUUAAUUCUUUCCUAGAGUCCUUUCAGGGCUUUUUUGUGUCAGUGUUCUACUGCUUUUUGAACAGUGAGGUACGCUCAGCCGUUCGUAAGCGGUGGCACCGCUGGCAGGAUAAGCACUCCAUUCGGGCACGGGUGGCACGGGCCAUGUCUAUUCCCACCUCUCCAACACGGGUCAGUUUCCACAGCAUCAAGCAGUCGUCGGCAGUCUGA
ensembl:lncRNA